rnacentral:miRNA from 1 species
GUCAGCAGACACAUUCCAGCCAAUCAGACCCUCCCUCCCAGACCCUCCCACAUCCUGGACAGCAUCCAUUUUACAUUCAUUGUGAAGCUGCAUUCUUAGUGAGCUGUCCACGAGGUGGGAGGGUCUGGGAGGGAGGGUCUGCUGCUGAUUGGCUGGAAUGUGUCUGCUGAC